CGUGUGAACCUACUCUGAGUUGAUUGAACCAACUCAAAUCAGCUGUUCUGGAACCGAAAACUCAGAGUUAGAGUUACUGGACUUCCAAAUGCCGAGUUUGGGUAAAUCAACUCAGAGUUCAGGGUUAGACUCAGAGUUUGUUAAACCUCCUUCCUGAAACGGGGCUCUGGUCUUCACCUGUCUUUGAAAAGAAGAUACAAAGUUUAAAAACUGCUUGCCACAAAGUCCUGCUCUGAGCUGGUGUCUCUAUCAGCAGAA